rnacentral:misc_RNA from 1 species
AUUCAUUACAAAUCAAUAAUUAUACUUUUUAAUUUAUCAAUUCAAAACACGGAGAGCAUUUCCAUUGAUAAAGUCACUAUGGUCAGGGAAACUGAAAAAUUAAAACAAUAAAACAAAUUCCAAAACAAAGGAACUCCAAACACAAUAAACCCAAAUGUGCCUCUUGUAGUUACAGCAGUAAUCUUUCACAGGUUUUGCAGCAUUCUGGCAGUCAAAGAUAAUGCUAAUCAUGUUCUGAUGGCUUCAAAUUUGAAGGAACGGUUGUCUUUGAAAUGAGGAUGGCUAUAAAGAGAAGAAAUGACCUUGGAACAACAGCAAACUUUUCAUAUAAAAGCUUCAAUGGACAGUUGUAAACAGAAUCUGGUUGAUGUAACAAUGGGUUGAAUUCUGUUUGAGAUUCUGGAAUUUCAACUGGA